UUUAAAGCUACAAAGGGUAUACGGUGAAUGCCUUGGCACUUAAAGGCGAUGAAAGACGUGGUAAGCUGCGAUAAGCUUCGGGGAGUGGCACACACACUUUGAUCCGGAGAUUUCUGAAUGGGGAAACCCACCUUAACUGGUAUUUUACACCCAAUUCAUAAGUGUAAAAAGCAAACGUCGGGAAGUGAAACAUCUCAGUACCGACAGGAAAGUAAAUCAAACGAGAUUUCCCUAGUAGUGGCGAGCGAACGGGAAUCAGCCCAAACCUAGGUCAUUUUUGACUUAGGGGUUGUGGGACCUCAAUAUGAGACUGAAUGCAUUAGAUGAAUAAGCUGGAAAGCUUAGCGAUAGAGGGUGAUAGCCCCGUAAUUUAAAGUGCAAACAGCUCUAGAGGUAUCCCGAGUACCACCGGACACGUGAAAUCCGCUGGGAAUCUGGGGGGACCACCCUCCAAGGCUAAAUACUAAUAAGUGACCGAUAGAGGACAAGUACCGUGAGGGAAAGGUGAAAAGAACCCCGAGAGGGGAGUGAAAUAGAACCUGAAACCGUAUAUCUACAAGCAGUAGAAGACCUUUACAUGGUCGACUGCGUACCUUUUGCAUAAUGAGUCAGCGAGUUAUUUUUGCAGGCAAGGUUAAGCCGUUUAAGGUGGAGCCGUAGCGAAAGCGAGUCUGAAUAGGGCGUUAGUCUGCAGGAAUAGACCCGAAACCCAGUGAUCUAAUCAUGGCCAGGCUGAAGCGAGGGUAACACCUCGUGGAGGGCCGAACUAGUUGGUGUUGAAAAACCUUUGGAUGAGCUGUGAUUAGGGGUGAAAGGCCAAUCAAACUGGGUGAUAGCUGGUUCUCCCCGAAAUAUAUUUAGGUAUAGCUUCAGGUAAAUUGUAUCACGGAGGUAGAGCACUGAAUGGGCUAGGGGUCCUUACCGGAUUACCAAACCCAAAUAAACUCCGAAUGCCGUUGAUAUGUACCCUGGAAGGCAGACGUAGGGUGAUAAGGUCAUACGUCGAGAGGGAAAGAGCCCAGACCGCCGACUAAGGUCCCUAAAUGCAUGCUAAGUGGAAAACGUUGUAGGGUUACUGUGACAACUAGGAGGUUGGCUUAGAAGCAGCAAUCCUUUAAAGAAAGCGUAAUAGCUCACUAGUCUAGUGACCCCGCGCGGAAGAUAUAACGGGGCUAAGCAUGUUACCGAAGUCGCGGAUUAAAGUAUUUUAUAUUUUAGUGGUAGGGGAGCGUUCUAGUGUAGGCUGAAGGUUGACCGUGAGGACAGCUGGACGAACUAGAAGUGAUCAUGCUGACAUAAGUAGCGUUGAACUCGAGUGAAAAACUCGGGCGCCGUAAACUCAAGGGUUCCUGGGCAAGGAUAAUCCUCCCAGGGUUAGUCGAGACCUAAGACGAGGCCAUAUGGCGUAGUCGAUGGAUAUGCGGUUAAUAUUCCGCAACCAUUACAUGAUUGAUAUAGCAAUGACAGAGUAGGUAGAGUCAGCCCCUUAUUGGAUUGGGGUGUAAGCAGGUAGGAGGUCAGAUAGGUAAGUCCGUCUGGCAACUCUGAGAUGUGAAUGCGAGGGAUUUAUCCCGGAAGUGACUGGAGCCAUGCUUUCAAGAAAAGUUGCGAUAUUUUAAGGUAAUGCUCGUACCGUAAACCGACUCAGGUGAGUGGGAUGAAUAAUCUAAGGCGAUGAGGUGAAUCUUGGUUAAGGAACUCGGCAACUUAACACCGUAACUUCGGGAAAAGGUGUGCCCCAAAAAGUGUAUGGAUUUACUCCUGAAGCUUCUUGGGGUCGCAGAGAGUUGGGAGUAGCGACUGUUUAUCAAAAACACAGGCAUGUGCAAAGUCACAAGACGAAGUAUACAUGCUGACGCCUGCCCGGUGCUGGAAGGUUAAGAGGAUUUGUCAGCGCAAGCGAAGCAGAGAAUCGAAGCCCCAGUAAACGGCGGCCGUAACUAUAACGGUCCUAAGGUAGCGAAAUUCCUUGUCGGGUAAGUUCCGACCUGCACGAAUGGCGUAACGACUUCUCCGGUGUCUCAACCAAGGGCCUCGCGAAAUUGAAUUCUCGGUGAAAAUGCCGGGUACCCGCAGAAAGACGGAAAGACCCCGUGAACCUUUACUAUAGCUUGGCAGUGAAUUUAGAGUUUUUAUGUGUAGGAUAGGUGGGAGCCUUUGAAGCCAGGUCGCCAGAUCUGGUGGAGGCAACCUUGAAAUACCACCCUUAAAAACUUUGACUUCUAACCUGCUCCUCUAAUCGAGGAGAGGGACACUGUCUGGUGGGUAGUUUGACUGGGGCGGUCGCCUCCUAAAAAGUAACGGAGGCGCGCGAUGGUCCCCUCAGCCUGAUUGGAAACCAGGCGUCGAGUGCAUUGGCAUAAGGGGGCUUGACUGCGAGACAUACAAGUCGAGCAGGUGCGAAAGCAGGCCAAAGUGAUCCGGUGGUCCCGCGUGGAAGGGCCAUCGCUCAACGGAUAAAAGGUACUCCGGGGAUAACAGGCUUAUUCCAUCCAAGAGUCCAUAUCGACGAUGGAGUUUGGCACCUCGAUGUCGGCUCAUCACAUCCUGGGGCUGGAGCAGGUCCCAAGGGUUUGGCUGUUCGCCAAUUAAAGUGGUACGCGAGCUGGGUUCAGAACGUCGUGAGACAGUUUGGUCCUUAUCUUCUGUGGGCGUAAGAAAUUUGAGCAGACCUGUCCUUAGUACGAGAGGACCGGGAUGGACGAACCUCUGGUGUUCCUGUUGUUCUGCCAAGAGCAAUGCAGGGUAGCUAUGUUUGGAAUGGAUAACCGCUGAAAGCAUCUAAGCGGGAAGCCAACUGCAAGAUAAGAUUUCUCUGGGGGCUAGUCCCCCCUAAAGACUCCUCGGAGACUACGAGGUUGAUAGGCAUAAAGUGUUCUUGCAGUAAUGCAUUCAGCUUAUAUGUACUAAUAGGUCGUGAGGCUUUUUUAA
rfam:Bdellovibrionales bacterium RIFCSPHIGHO2_01_FTLL_40_29 rifcsphigho2_01_scaffold_26, whole genome shotgun sequence.